rnacentral:sRNA from 1 species
UACAUUUUGGUGGCGCAGUAUCCUAGUCGGAUCUGCCGGUACUGAAGAAGGGCCUAAAAAUCCUUUAUAGGGCAUAUCGAUGAAGUCCCUGGUGCUUGCUUGUUACGCCCAGUUUCGGGUGGGUGCUGGGGGUUAAGGUUAUUGGGCGCGCUGCAAUGGCAUGCGGCUUCCGACCCAAUUUCCGCGGAGACCUGAUCUUGUGCGACGCCGGCCUCGUCGGCACACCGCCUUCCCGGCGCGUACGAAUCUGGAGAUGAACCUGCAGCUCGGUGCACAGAAUCGUGUGCUGGGUGCAGCGUAGCCUGCCUUGCGUGGAUGUCCCGGGAUCGGGAAGCUAUGCAUCGGAGCCUAUGGCCAUAGGGGACGGUGAUAUUUCCGUGAAAGGGCAUCUGCAAAAGAGGAUAGGUACCGGCGGAAGCCGUCGUGGAAAUCACCUAGGCUGUCGAGAGGGCAGGCAGGGGAUUGCAGUACGGACUCAGUGGCAAUCGGGUACCGGCGUCGGCAACGCGCCGGUGGAGGGAUGAAAAGGAAACUGCCCGGCCGGCAACGGCGGGUUUCCUCCAGGGAAAGCCAACCCGACCUAAGCCGUAAGAUUUACCCUUCCUGCCGCCAC